AGAUUGUUUAGAGGUUCAUCAAACUCAGUAUAUCACAUGUUGGACAAGAUCAAGACUUUUUCAUAUAGGUGGUUGAAAGCGACUAGUAGUACUUUAGCUUUGAACUGCCAUAGCUGGUGGUCUAGUCCUAUGCUUUGUUUGGGCCUUGUUUAGUUUCUUUUGGUUCAUGUAUCUUGACUCUUUGUAACUUUACUUAGUCUUUUCUGGCACGUCUUGUGCUGGGAGGAUGAUUGGUUUUACUUAUUUAUAUAUAUAUAU
rnacentral:lncRNA from 1 species